rnacentral:rRNA from 1 species
AUUGAACGCUGGCGGCAGGCCUAACACAUGCAAGUCGAGCGGAUGAAGGGAGCUUGCUCCUGGAUUCAGCGGCGGACGGGUGAGUAAUGCCUAGGAAUCUGCCUGGUAGUGGGGGAUAACGUCCGGAAACGGGCGCUAAUACCGCAUACGUCCUGAGGGAGAAAGUGGGGGAUCUUCGGACCUCACGCUAUCAGAUGAGCCUAGGUCGGAUUAGCUAGUUGGUGGGGUAAAGGCCUACCAAGGCGACGAUCCGUAACUGGUCUGAGAGGAUGAUCAGUCACACUGGAAUGGAGACACGGUCCUGACUCAUACGGGAGGAAGCAGUGGGGAAUAUUGGACAAUGGGCGAAAGCCUGAUCCAGCCAUGCCGCGUGUGUGAAGAAGGUCUUCGGAUUGUAAAGCACUUUAAGUUGGGAGGAAGGGCAGUAAGUUAAUACCUUGCUGUUUUGACGUUACCAACAGAAUAAGCACCGGCUAACUUCGUG